rnacentral:rRNA from 1 species
GGGUUGUGAGGUUAAGCGACUAAGCGUACACGGUGGAUGCCCUGGCAGUCAGAGGCGAUGAAGGGCGUGCUAAUCUGCGAUAAGCGCCGGUAAGGUGAUAUGAACCGUUAUAACCGGCGAUACCCGAAUGGGGAAACCCAGUGUGAUUCGUCACACUAUCAUUAACUGAAUCCAUAGGUUAAUGAGGCGAACCGGGGGAACUGAAACAUCUAAGUACCCCGAGGAAAAGAAAUCAACCGAGAUUCCCCCAGUAGCGGCGAGCGAACGGGGAGGAGCCCAGAGCCUGAAUCAGCAUGUGUGUUAGUGGAAGCGUCUGGAAAGGCGCGCGAUACAGGGUGACAGCCCCGUACACAAAAGCGCAUAUGCUGUGAGCUCGAUGAGUAGGGCGGGACACGUGGUAUCCUGUCUGAAUAUGGGGGGACCAUCCUCCAAGGCUAAAUACUCCUGACUGACCGAUAGUGAACCAGUACCGUGAGGGAAAGGCGAAAAGAACCCCGGCGAGGGGAGUGAAAAAGAACCUGAAACCGUGUACGUACAAGCAGUGGGAGCACAGGUUUACCUGUGUGACUGCGUACCUUUUGUAUAAUGGGUCAGCGACUUAUAUUCUGUAGCAAGGUUAACCGUAUAGGGGAGCCGGAGGGAAACCGAGUCUUAACCGGGCGUUAAGUUGCAGGGUAUAGACCCGAAACCCGGUGAUCUAGCCAUGGGCAGGUUGAAGGUUGGGUAACACUAACUGGAGGACCGAACCGACUAAUGUUGAAAAAUUAGCGGAUGACCUGUGGCUGGGGGUGAAAGGCCAAUCAAACCGGGAGAUAGCUGGUUCUCCCCGAAAGCUAUUUAGGUAGCGCCUCGUGAACUCAUCUCCGGGGGUAGAGCACUGUUUCGGCUAGGGGGCCAUCCCGGCUUACCAACCCGAUGCAAACUGCGAAUACCGGAGAAUGUUAUCACGGGAGACACACGGCGGGUGCUAACGUCCGUCGUGAAGAGGGAAACAACCCAGACCGCCAGCUAAGGUCCCAAAGUCAUGGUUAAGUGGGAAACGAUGUGGGAAGGCCCAGACAGCCAGGAUGUUGGCUUAGAAGCAGCCAUCAUUUAAAGAAAGCGUAAUAGCUCACUGGUCGAGUCGGCCUGCGCGGAAGAUGUAACGGGGCUAAACCAUGCACCGAAGCUGCGGCAGCGACACUGUGUGUUGUUGGGUAGGGGAGCGUUCUGUAAGCCAGUGAAGGUGUGUCGUGAGGCAUGCUGGAGGUAUCAGAAGUGCGAAUGCUGACAUAAGUAACGAUAAAGCGGGUGAAAAGCCCGCUCGCCGGAAGACCAAGGGUUCCUGUCCAACGUUAAUCGGGGCAGGGUGAGUCGACCCCUAAGGCGAGGCCGAAAGGCGUAGUCGAUGGGAAAC